AUAUAUAUAUAUAUAUAUAAUUCAUUUAUUAAUAUAUAUUUAUUUAUUAUAUAUAGUAUUUUAUUUUUAUAUAGAUAUAUUAUUAUAUAAUAAUUUAUUAUCUAAUUUACUCCUUAUUUUUAUAAAAUAUAAAAUAUAUAAAUAAAUGUUAAAUAAUUUAAACUACUAGUAUUAGAUAUAAAUGUUAAUUUUAUUAUGUUGAGUAUUCACAUAUAAAUUGUACUUUAAAAAAUAAAAAAAAGGAUUGACGCAGCUUAAAUUAAUUUUAUAUUUGAUGAAAGUUAAUUGCAAGAAUCACAAGCAAUGAUUUCUCUUCUCAUUCACUAACUAUCGGGGGACUACGAUACCUACUAAAAAUUAUUUCACUAACUAAUGGGGAACUACUAUGUCUACGAAAAAUUUUUGAUAUACUUAUUUCAUCAUUUAUUAUUUCUCAACUCCUUAGACAUGCAUA
rnacentral:lncRNA from 1 species